rnacentral:lncRNA from 1 species
UAAGGGUCUAGACUUCCAUGAAGUCUUCUGGGUGAGUAGUGUAUUUAGAGGUAGAAGACUUCUAAGAAGUCGUCUAAUAGAAUACUUCCCUGAAAGUCUUUUGAAUCAAAAAUAUUUAACCUAGAUGAAAUUUUUUGUCUCCAUAUAUAAAGAAAAAGUACACAUUCUCUAUCUUACUCUCAAAUGACUUCAACAAAAAUGUAAUGAUUCUCACUAGAACUCUCCAACAUCUCUCUAAUCUCUUUAAACUUGAAA